rnacentral:rRNA from 1 species
AGAGUUUGAUCCUGGCUCAGGACGAACGCUGGCGGCAUGCCUAACACAUGCAAGUCGAACGGAGAUUACUUCGGUAAUCUUAGUGGCGAACGGGUGAGUAACGCGUGGGCAACCUGCCCUCUAGAUGGGGACAACAUCCCGAAAGGGGUGCUAAUACCGAAUGUGACAGCAAUCUCGCAUGAGGAUGCUGUGAAAGAUGGCCUCUAUUUAUAAGCUAUCGCUAGAGGAUGGGCCUGCGUCUGAUUAGCUAGUUGGUGGGGUAACGGCCUACCAAGGCGAUGAUCAGUAGCCGGUUCGAGAGGAUGAACGGCCACAUUGGGACUGAGACACGGCCCAGACUCCUACGGGAGGCAGCAGUGGGGAAUCUUCCGCAAUGGGCGAAAGCCUGACGGAGCAAUGCCGCGUGAGUGAUGAAGGAAUUCGUUCCGUAAAGCUCUUUUGUUUAUGACGAAUGUGCAGGUUGUGAAUAAUGAUCUGUAAUGACGGUAGUAAACGAAUAAGCCACGGCUAACUACGUGCCAGCAGCCGCGGUAAUACGUAGGUGGCGAGCGUUGUCCGGAAUUAUUGGGCGUAAAGAGCAUGUAGGCGGUUUUUUAAGUCUGGAGUGAAAAUGCGGGGCUCAACCCCGUAUGGCUCUGGAUACUGGAAGACUUGAGUGCAGGAGAGGAAAGGGGAAUUCCCAGUGUAGCGGUGAAAUGCGUAGAUAUUGGGAGGAACACCAGUGGCGAAGGCGCCUUUCUGGACUGUGUCUGACGCUGAGAUGCGAAAGCCAGGGUAGCGAACGAAAGAAGAUACCCCGGUAGUCUGGCCGUA